GAUGAACGCUGGCGGCGUGCUUAACACAUGCAAGUCGAACGGAAAGGCCCAAGCUUGCUUGGGUACUCGAGUGGCGACCGGGUGAGUAACACGUGGGUGAUCUGCCCUGCACUUCGGGCUAAGCCUGGGAAACUGGGUCUAAUACCGGAUAGGACAUCAUUUUGGAUGGUGCGAUGGAAAGUUUUUCGGUGUGGGAUGAGCUAGCGGCCUAUCAGCUUGUUGGUGGGGUAAUGGCCUACCAAGGCGUCGACGGGCAGCCGGCCUGCGAGGGUGUACGGCCACAUUGGGACUGAGAUACGGCCCAGACUCCUACGGGAGGCAGCAGUGGGGAAUAUUGCACAAUGGGCGCAAGCCUGAUGCAGCGACGCCGCGUGGGGGAUGACGGCCUUCGGGUUGUAAACUACUUUCGCUAGGGACGAAGCGCAAGUGACGGUACCUGGAGAAGAAGCACCGGCUAACUACGUG
rnacentral:rRNA from 1 species